GUAAUUAGUCUGUUGUGGAUGUUUAGAGUUGGAAGAGACCUUUGCGACUCCUCUGAUCUAGUUGCCUCAUUGCAGAGUUUAGGAAACUGAGGCUUAGAAGUGCUAAAUGUCCUCAUGACACGUGACUGCUGUAUUAAUUAGGUUACUCGAAGAGUCAAAUACACAAUCAUUUCAAUAAAAUGUGGUAACUUCUACAACUGAGAUGUAUAUAAAGAUCACAGGGAAGGAAUCCUGAAUUUGGCCUGUGGGAACCAGAGAAAUUUCUUCACAGAGUAAACUUUCAGUGGAGCGCUGAGGAUGAGAAGGUGUUUUCUACAUGUGCAAGUGGGAGUGGGGAAUCUUAAACUGAGUGAAUGGCAUUGAUUCAAUUACUUACCCACUGAACAGGCAUUUAUUGACCAUCUUCUGCAUGCCAGAAACUUCUACAUGUGGUGGAUGCUGUGGGUACAAAAAUGAAGAUAUAGUCCCAGAUAUCAAGAACUUGCUUGGGGAGAAAGACACAAGUAGAUGAUUAUAAAAUAAGAUUGUGGGCCGGGCGCAGGGGCUCACGCCUGUAAUCCCAGCACUUUGGGAGGCUGAGGCGGGCGGAUCAUGACAUCAGGAGUUCAAGAUCAGCCUGACCAACAUGGUGAAACCCCAUCUCUACUAAAAAUACAAAAAAUUAGCCGAGUGUGGCGGUGCCUGCCUGUAAUCCCAUCUACUCGGGAGGCUGAGGCAGGAGAAUUGCUUGAACCUAGGAGGCGGAGCUUGCAGUGAGCUGAGGUCAUGUCUCUGCACUCCAGCCUGGGCGACAGGCAAGACUUCGUCUUAAAAAAAGAUUGUGCAUGGAUGCUGGGUCAGUGGCUCAUGCCUGUAAUUCCAAUGCUUUGGGAGGCUGAGAAAGGGGGAUUGCUUGAGACCAGUGUUCAAGACCAGCUUAGGUGACAUAAUGAGACCCCAUUUCUACAAAAAAAAAAUUAAAAAUUAGUUGAGCAUGGUGGUGUGUACCUGUAAUCCCAGAUACUCAGGAGGCUGAGGUAUGAGGAUUGCUUGAGCCCAGGAGGUCAAGUCUGCAGUGAGCUAUGAUUGCACCAUUGCACUCCUGCCUUGGUGACAGAGCAAGACCUUGUCUCAAAACCAAAACUCAAAAAACAAAAAAAUGUAUGUUCAGAGAAUCAGAAGUAUAAUGGAAAAAUAAAAAAUGCGGUGAAGGUAGGUGAAAGCCAGCUUGGUUUGGUAUGAAUAUAUAAAUUUAUGAGGAAAUUUGAAUGCACUUAAGAGAUAGUGGAUUUUAUAGUGUCUUUGAUGGGAAACUCUUGAGAAAUUUAUGCAGUUAGGUUUGCUUUCAUUUAAUAUAACAAUAUCACUUCCAACAAUGUGAAGGGGACACAUAAGAUAUGAGAUGACUGUAGUAAUUCAGGCAAGAAAUAACGUACACCAUGACUGGCAGAAGCAGUGAAGAUGGAGAGAAUAAAAUAUUUUAUUCACUGAUUUGAUAUAAGGUUAAAGGAGAAAAAUACUUAUAGAAUAAAUAUAAAUAAACACCAGGUUUCAGGUUUUGCAAUGGAUGGGAGACAGAACAUGUAGACCAAAUACAGUUUUGAAAGGAAGAUGAUGAUUCAGUAUCCUUUGGCAUUUUCAGAUGAAUAUAAUCUGAGAAAUUAGAGUUAAGAGUCUGAAGAUCAGAAUAGUGCUAUGAUCAAUUUAAGUUGGAGAGGUAGAAGAGAGCUGGUGGUAGAUGAUAACACUGCUUGAUAAGUGUAUGUAGGAUGAGAAGAAAAGAGAGACAAGGAUAGAAUUUGGAGAAGCUUCAGAACUUAAAAGGAGGGUAGGAGAUGCUGAGCUUAAAAGGAUGCUAGAGAGCAAUAGCCAUAGAGAGAGAGGAAGAGAAAAAAGAGGGUUUCAUGUUAGAAACCAUGAGAGGACAGUGUUUCAGUGAAGGAUUUAGCAACAAUAUUAGACUCCAGAGAGAUCAAGUAAGGUAAAAGCUAAAACUAUGGGAUAUUCUUUUUUUUUUUUCCGCAUCAGCAAGUGCUCAGGCUUUAUUUACAAUGCCGACACUGCAGGGAAUGAACAGCCUCCAUCUGGGCCUCUCUGGUCAAAACCACCUUUUUGAGUCAGAGGCCCAGGCCCAGGCCUCCCAGAUCAUCGUCCUCUGCCCCGAAGCCUGAGAAGCUGAUGGGCUGGCAGGCCAGGCUGGGCAGGUUCACGAGGCAGGCGGUCUGCAUGGCACUUAAGUCAGGGAUGGUCACCAACAGCCAAAGCUGGGGAUGCUGCCACAAAAGUAGACAUGCGGGCACUCCGGGAAGAAGAAUGGGUCGGUUUUGCAGAAGGGGUAACAACCUAGGGUGUCA
rnacentral:lncRNA from 10 species